rnacentral:rRNA from 1 species
CAGUCGCCGCGGGAAUACGUAGGGUGCAAGCGUUAAUCGGAAUUACUGGGCGUAAAGCGUGCGCAGGCGGUUAUAUAAGACAGAUGUGAAAUCCCCGGGCUCAACCUGGGAACUGCAUUUGUGACUGUAUAGCUAGAGUACGGCAGAGGGGGAUGGAAUUCCGCGUGUAGCAGUGAAAUGCGUAGAUAUGCGGAGGAACACCGAUGGCGAAGGCAAUCCCCUGGGCCUGUACUGACGCUCAUGCACGAAAGCGUGGGGAGCAAACAGGUUUAGAUACCCCAGUAGUCCCUGUCUCUUAUAC